GACGAACGCUGGCGGCGUGCCUAACACAUGCAAGUCGAACGCGUGUAGCAAUACACGAGUGGCGGACGGGUGAGUAACGCGUGGGAACCUGCCCAGUGGUAGGGAAUAACUGCGGGAAACUGCAGCUAAUACCCUAUACGCCCUUUGGGGGAAAGAUUCAUCGCCAUUGGAGGGGCCCGCGUCGGAUUAGCUAGUUGGCGGGUAAUGGCCCACCAAGGCAACGAUCCGUAGCUGGUCUGAGAGGAUGAUCAGCCACACUGGGACUGAGAUACGGCCAGACUCCUACGGGAGGCAGCAGUGGGGAAUAUUGGACAA
rnacentral:rRNA from 1 species